AAGGCCCUAGCUUAAUUAAAGCGCCUGAGUUGCAUUCAGGAGAUGCAGGGUAGCAGCCUGCGGAUCUUA
rnacentral:tRNA from 1 species